rnacentral:rRNA from 1 species
UACAGAGGUCCCAAGCGUUGUUCGGAUUCACUGGGCGUAAAGGGUGCGUAGGUGGUGACGUAAGUCGGAUGUGAAAUCUCGGAGCUCAACUCCGAAACGGCAUUGGAAACUGCGUUGCUAGAGGGUUGGAGGGGGGACUGGAACGCUUGGUGUAGCAGUGAAAUGCGUAGAUAUCAAGCGGAACACCAGUGGCGAAGGCGAGUCCCUGGACAACACCUGACACUGAGGCACGAAAGCUAGGGGAGCAAACAGG